rnacentral:rRNA from 1 species
AGGUCAAGCUACAAAGGGCGCAUGGUGAAUGCCUUGGCAUCAGGAGCCGAUGAAGGACGUGAUAAGCUGCGAUAAGCUUCGGGUAGGCGCACAUAGCCUGAGAUCCGAAGAUCUCCGAAUGAGGAAACUCACAUGGGAAACCCCAUGUAUCAUUAAGUGAAUACAUAGCUUAAUGAAGGUAACCCAGGGAACUGAAACAUCUAAGUACCUGGAGGAAGAGAAAGAAAAAUCGAUUUUCUUAGUAGCGGCGAGCGAAAGGGAAAGAGCCCAAACCGGAAACUUGUUUCCGGGGUUGUGGACAUAACAUAAAAGUGGAGGCUAUUGUAACUGAAGAGAACUGGAAAGUUCCACCGUAGAAGGUAAUAGUCCUGUAAGUGAAACGAGAAGACCACGAGUUAUGAUCCAGAGUACCACGAGACACGUGAAACCUUGUGGGAAGCAGGGAGGACCACCUCCCAAGGCUAAAUACUACCUGAUGACCGAUAGUGAAGCAGUACCGUGAGGGAAAGGUGAAAAGAACCCCGGGAGGGGAGUGAAAUAGAACCUGAAACCGUGUGCCUACAACCGCUCAGAGCCCCUUAUGAGGGUGAUGAGGUGCUUUUUGUAGAACGAGCCAACGAGUUACGGUAUGUAGCAAGGUUAAGUACUUAAGGUACGGAGCCGAAGGGAAACCGAGUCUGAAUAGGGCGACUAGUUGCAUGCCGUAGACCCGAAACCGGGUGACCUAUCCAUGGCCAGGUUGAAGCGAGGGUAAAACCUCGUGGAGGACCGAACCACGUUGCUGUUGAAAAAGCAUGGGAUGAGCUGUGGAUAGCGGAGAAAUUCCAAUCGAACCCGGAGAUAGCUGGUUCUCUCCGAAAUAGCUUUAGGGCUAGCGUCGAGUAUGAGUAGUGGAGGUAGAGCACUGAAUGGGCUAGGGGGCAUAGCGCUUACCGAACCUUAUCAAACUCCGAAUGCCACAUACUUUGAGCUCGGCAGUCAGACUACGAAUGAUAAGAUCCGUGGUCAAAAGGGAAACAGCCCAGAUCGUCAGCUAAGGUCCCAAAGUGUAAGUUAAGUGGGAAAGGAUGUGAGAUUUCUAAGACAACUAGGAUGUUGGCUUAGAAGCAGCCAUUCAUUAAAAGAGUGCGUAAUAGCUCACUAGUCGAGAGAUCUUGCGCCGAAAAUGUAACGGGGCUAAACUUACCACCGAAGCUACGGGCUUGAACUUAGUUCAAGCGGUAGGAGAGCGUCGUAACCGGGCUGAAGUCGUACCGUAAGGAGCGGUGGACUGGUUACGAGUGAGAAUGUUGGCAUCAGUAGCGAGAUGUGGGUGAGAAUCCCACAGGCCGAAAACCUAAGGUUUCCUCAGGAAGGUUCGUCCGCUGAGGGUUAGUCGGGACCUAAGCCGAGGCCGAAAGGCGUAGGUGAUGGACAACUGGUUGAUAUUCCAGUACCACUACCAUCGUUAUUAUCGAUGGCGUGACGCAGGAGGAUAGUGUGUGCUAGCUAUUGGAUGCUAGUCUAAGCGUUUAGGCAGUGAGAGUAGGCAAAUCCGCUCUCAUAAUGCUGAGGCGUGAUGGGGAAGGUUCUACGGAACUGAAGUACAUGAUUCCACGCUGCCAAGAAAAGCGUCUAGAGAGAGAAGUAGUGCCCGUACCGCAAACCGACACAGGUAGGUGAGGAGAGAAUCCUAAGGCCGGCGGAAGAAUUACAGUUAAGGAACUCGGCAAAUUGACCCCGUAAGUUCGCGAGAAGGGGUGCCUACGAGAGUAGGCCGCAGAGAAUAGGCCCAAGCAACUGUUUAGCAAAAACACAGGUCUCUGCUAAAGCGUAAGCUGAUGUAUAGGGGCUGACGCCUGCCCGGUGCUGGAAGGUUAAGGGGAACACUUAGCGCAAGCGAAGGUGUGAACUUAAGCCCCAGUAAACGGCGGCCGUAACUAUAACGGUCCUAAGGUAGCGAAAUUCCUUGUCAGGUAAGUUCUGACCCGCACGAAUGGCGUAAUGACUUGGGCACUGUCUCAACUGUAAAUCCGGCGAAGUUGUAGUGCGAGUGAAGAUGCUCGCUACCCGCGAUUGGACGGAAAGACCCCGUAGAGCUUUACUGUAGCUUAGCAUUGAGUUUUGGUAUUGUCUGUACAGG